CACGGGGGGAGCAAGCGUUGUUCGGAAUCACUGGGCGUAAAGGGCGUGUAGGCGGUCAGGUAAGUGGAAUGUGAAAGCCCUCGGCUCACCCGAGGAUCUGCAUUCCAAACUGCCUGGCUUGAGUAUGGGAGAGGAUGAGGGAAUUCCUGGUGUAGCGGUGAAAUGCGUAGAUAUCAGGAGGAACACCGGUGGCGAAGGCGGCUACCUGGACAGAAACUGACGCUGAGGCGCGAAAGCUAGGGGAGCAAACAGG
rnacentral:rRNA from 1 species